rnacentral:lncRNA from 1 species
CCAAGGUGAAAGUUCAAUAGAAUAUUUGGGAGGGAUUGGAUGACAUCAUUCGUAGUGUUCCGCCUUAUGAGAGGCUACAAUUUUCAAGAUUUACACCAUCUACGUCUUGGUGUGAAUCUAUCUCGCUCUUGAUUUAUCACAACAUGGGCUUUCAUGCACCUUAAAGAUAAAAUAAAGUAAUACACAUUGUCUGUCAAUACAACCAACUUUACCAACCACUCUGCACCUUAAUGAAUAGAGUAGUUUAAAUUUUGUCACUUUGUGUAUCAUUCCAAGGGGAAUGCAAUCAUAUUAACGCAAAGACCAUAAAAAAUAAGGCUAAAAUGAUCAUCAUUAUCACACUUUACCCAACUGCUUCUUUCUUAGAAAAGAGGGCGUCGAUGGGUAUCAUGGUAAGUCGAGUCUUGGAGCUAUAGAGCCUCAAAUUGAGAAGCAACUCACUAAAAGCACAUACUUGUCAGAAGCAAUUAAUUAAAACUAUAGUAAAGACAAAAAGAUGUUAGGAUGAAUAUCACCAAGAGAGUAGCAACAAAUGAUUCGCUUCAGAAGUUGAAAGAGGAAAAGAUAUACCUCUCGUUUUGCGUGAAAUCAGUAUCUCUUUUAAUCUGGCAAUAAUACGUACAAACAUGAAAAUUGAAGGUUAAACUAAAAAGAGAUAAUCUCAUAUAAAGCAUGCUUUCUCUUUCAUAAAGAGCAUUUGUUUGAUUGGUAAGUGAUAUCAUAAGUUGAUCAAAUGAGGACGUAAAGAUAUGCAGAACCCCCAACAUAAUAAUAGCAAAAAUUAAGUACU